rnacentral:lncRNA from 1 species
UCCAAAGGACUGACCUUAGACUUUAAAUACGUAUAUCGGACAUUCAAAUAAAGGUUAUACACUACAGUUUAACAGAAAACUCACCCUGUGGAGGGUUGAAUACCAUAAAAAAAGUUUGUUUGGCUUUGCCGCUGUUGCCGAUUGGCAGACAUCAUAAUAAAAUUCAACAUAAUGACGGAACAGAUCCGUAAAAUUCCGGAGUGUGACAUUACA